rnacentral:rRNA from 1 species
UACGUAGGGUGCAAGCGUUGUCCGGAAUUAUUGGGCGUAAAGAGCUCGUAGGCGGUCUGUCGCGUCGGCUGUGAAAACUCGGGGCUACCACCGACGCUGCAGUGAUACGGGCAGACUAGAGGUAGGUAGGGGAGAAUGGAAUUCCCGGUGUAGCGGUGAAAUGCGCAGAUAUCGGGAGGAACACCGGUGGCGAAGGCGGUUCUCUGGGCCUUACCUGACGCUGAGACGCGAAAGCGUGGGGAGCAAACAGG